rnacentral:tRNA from 1 species
GAGGGUAUAACUCAGUGGUAGAGUGUAUGUUUAGCAUGCACAAGAUCCUGGGUUCGAUCCCCAGUACCUCCA